GACGAACGCUGGCGGCGUGCCUAAUACAUGCAAGUAGAACGCUGAAGGAGGAGCUUGCUUCUCUGGAUGAGUUGCGAACGGGUGAGUAACGCGUAGGUAACCUGCCUGGUAGCGGGGGAUAACUAUUGGAAACGAUAGCUAAUACCGCAUAAGAGUAGAUGUUGCAUGUCAUUUGCUUAAAAGGUGCAAUUGCAUCACUACCAGAUGGACCUGCGUUGUAUUAGCUAGUUGGUGAGGUAACGGCUCACCAAGGCAACGAUACAUAGCCGACCUGAGAGGGUGAUCGGCCACACUGGGACUGAGACACGGCCCAGACUCCUACGGGAGGCAGCAGUAGGGAAUCUUCGGCAAUGGACGGAAGUCUGACCGAGCAACGCCGCGUGAGUGAAGAAGGUUUUCGGAUCGUAAAGCUCUGUUGUAAGAGAAGAACGAGUGUGAGAGUGGAAAGUUCACACUGUGACGGUAUCUUACCAGAAAGGGACGGCUAACUACGUG
rnacentral:rRNA from 1 species